UACGAAGGGGACUAGCGUUGUUCGGAAUCACUGGGCGUAAAGCGUGCGCAGGCGGUUGUGCAAGACAGAUGUGAAAUCCCCGGGCUUAAACUGGGAAUUGCAUUUGUGACUGUACGGCUAGAGUGUGUCAGAGGGGGGUAGAAUUCCACGUGUAGCAGUGAAAUGCGUAGAGAUGUGGAGGAAUACCGAUGGCGAAGGCAGCCCCCUGGGAUAACACUGACGCUCAUGCACGAAAGCGUGGGGAGCAAACAGG
rnacentral:rRNA from 1 species